rnacentral:lncRNA from 1 species
CUUUGGCUGCUCCUACAACAAGAAACAAGAAUUUAAAAAGAACCCAUGGUUCUUGGCCUUCCUGUCCAUCUCCAUGGCAAUAGAAUUAUGGAGUCAAUGGGUCCUGAAUUUGCAAUGUUCUGGAUAGAAAGUUCUGCUCCCCUCUCACCACUCUCCACUCUCUACAAAGAUAAAAGUUAGGGGGUGUGGUUAAUUUUUGUGAAAGCCUGUCAGAAUACAGGACAGCACUGAGAACUUGUGGAGAUUCCCGGACAGCAGAUUCUGGGGAGAAGAAAUCCUCCUUGGAAGGUCCAGGCCAUCCCUGCCAGGCUUGUUGGAGAGCUACAGCCCCGAGCCUGGGAGGGCAGUUACUAAUCAGUCAGUCACGGCAGCAUCAAGCAAGCAGAGAAGGAAGGGAAUAAAAUGUCCUAGGAAGAUGGAAAUAGAUGUUUCAAAGCUUGAGAAGACCACCAGAGCAAGCAAUUCGGUUCAGUGCACUGGAUGAAAAUAACAAGACUCUCACAGAUGGGAAGCCAGACAUCAAAGGACUAGCCAAGUGCCUGGUUGUAUUGUAGAACCCAAGAACCAGGCAGAACUUCACUACUAAGUACCUGAAUAUGGAAGAAGUGAGAAAGAAAGAGGAAAAGGAGAAGAGGGGAAAAUAAGAUGCUGUCAGAUACGGGCAGGAGAAAUCCUUUAGAGUGCUUUGUGACCACCCAGAAGUAGAAGAAUAAAACUAACGCUAUUAAAAAGCAAUGGAAUCCCUGCCUACUGCUGUUUCUCUGCCUCACAAACUUCUUUUUUCCCCUUUAAAUGCAACAAUAUAUUAACACUCUGUCAGUUGAAGAGUGCUUUAUAAAUGGUAGAUGCUGUUUCUUGCUUAAACAACUGCUCUGAGUGCCUGAUAGAGCUAUAGGCACACCUGUUUAAAGCUCUGCAAGUCCCACUCACCCCCCGGAUUCGGAUCUUCAAAGCAACAACUGCAGACCCACCUGUGGCAGGCAGACUUCUAAGACGGCCCCCUGAGAUCCCUGCUUCCUAGAGUUCAUGCCCUGUGUAAUCUCCCCCUUUCCCUUGAGUAGGGGUUGGACCUCGUGACUCACUUCUAAUGAGUAGAAUAUGAUAAAUGUGAUGGCAUGUCACUGUCAAGAUUAGGUUACAGAAGACUGUGAUUUCCAUCUUGCUGGCACUCUCCUGCUUUCUCUCUCACUUGUUCACUCUGACGAAGCCAGUUGCCAUGUUGUCAGCUGCCUUACAGAGAAGUCAAUGUGGCAAGGAACUGCGGCCUCUGGCCAACAGCCAGCAAGGAACUGAAGCUCUCUGCCCAACAUCCUGCAAGGAACUAAAUCCUGCCAACAACCACUGAGUAAGUUUGGAAGCAGGUCAUGUCCCAGUCAAGUCUUGAGAUGACUGAGGCCCCAGCCAAUAGUAUGACUGCAACCUCAUGAGAGCACUUGAGCUGGAGACCUAGGUAAGCCAGGCCUGGACUCCUGACCAAGAGAAAUUGUAAGAUAACUGUGUACUAUUUACAGCUGCUAAGUUUUGGGAUAAUUUGUUACACAGCAGUAAAUACCUA